rnacentral:rRNA from 1 species
AUACUUAAGCGGCCAAGAGAAAUCGUUAAGCAUCCCACCUGGGGAGUAAUCCGGCAACGGUGAAACUCAAAGGAAUUGAAGGGGGCCCGCACAAGAGGAGAAACAUGUGGUUUAAUUCGAUGAUACGCGAGGAACCUUACCCGGGCUUGAACUGCAGAGGAAGGAUCUGGAGACAGUGACGCCCUUCGGGGCCUCUGUGGAGGUGCUGCAUGGUUGUCGUCAGCUCGUGCCAUGAGGUGUCGGCUUAAAGUGCCAUAACGAGCGCAACCCCUUUCAUUAGUUGCCAUCACUUCGGGUGGGCACUCUGGUGAUACUGCCACCGUAAGGUGUGAGGAAGGUGGGGAUGACGUCAAAUCAGCACGGCCCUUACGUCCGGGGCUACACACGUGUUACAAUGGGUGAUACAGAGCUCUUGUACAUGGCAAUGUGCAUCAAAUCUUGAAAGUCAUCCCUUCCCCUUUUGGGUCUGCAUCCCGACCCCAAAAAGCGGAUUCGCUAGAA